rnacentral:rRNA from 1 species
AUUGAACGCUGGCGGCAUGCCUUACACAUGCAAGUCGAACGGCAGCACGGGAGCAAUCCUGGUGGCGAGUGGCGAACGGGUGAGUAAUACAUCGGAACGUGCCCAAUCGUGGGGGAUAACGCAGCGAAAGCUGUGCUAAUACCGCAUGAGAUCUACGGAUGAAGGCAGGGGACCGCAAGGCCUUGCGCGAAUGGAGCGGC